UGGAGAGGAGGUUGUGGCGUGACCACACUGGGUGCUUGCUCCUCCCUUGCUAUACCUCAGUCUCUCUGCGAGUGAGUGCGUGUGACCUCUGACAAUCGAAAGCAAAUCUAGGAGUCCCUAGGCCAGAGGCCUCCCAGAAGAACUCGAGGAGGAGCCUCCCCAAGCAGGCAAGAUGCUCUGAAUCAUCCCGGCUGCCAGCCCUGUCUAGUCCAAUCGCAGCUCAGAACCUGGCUGGAGACCACAAACGACGCACUAGCAGAGACCGCAGAUCUGUCCGAAUCUACACAUAGAUUUCCAGGACAGAAGUUCGCGUGGCAGACCCAAACAUUCCUUCUAAGGAACAGGGAAGCAAGCAAACCUAUGAUUCCUUGCCCUCCAUGUUUCGGAGCCAGUGACGGAGAGCGCGAGAGAGCCCUCCAACAGCGUCCUCAAGCCACAAUCCACCCCCGGCCUCAGGCAGCCUGGUCAUGGAGCACGUGUGACUGGCAUGUCAGGAAAGGCCUCGGGAAUAGAACCCAGGACCCUCCCGUGUAUGGUCUCUGUGUCUCUGGCUGCCCCUCUGCCGUGCUCUCAUCCAGGGAUCACUUCCAUACUGCCACCCCCUCACUCUGAGGACCCUCGCAUUCUGCUGCCCACACCCGGCCCUGCACGCCCCCAGCCUCUGCGUGCUCAGCUGCCUCCUCCUCUCUGGAGGCUGCACAGCUGCCUGACCAAUGUCUGCACCCCAAGAAGCAGGCGUGUCGGGGAGAAGAGAUGACUUUGCCGUGGCCCACCUUGUGCCCCAAAGGCCAGCCCAGUCUGUCCCACGAAGGCAUGGAACCCAUCAUACAGCACAGCCUGCCGAAGCCGUGUGAGUGCAUGUGCGUGCAGCCAGCUGUGGACCGAUGGAGGCUCCAACCCCCCACCCCACAAAUCGCUCGGCCCCUCCUCUAGCCUCCCAUCCGGGGCAGCUCUGGCCCAGACACCUGUGGUCAGAGGGGGCGGAAGGAAGGCUUCUGAGAAUCCCCGAGGAGGGCAUGUGGUCUGUGUCGGAGCCCCUGACGCUCGCUUGCCUGCCUGGUGCCUGGUGUUUGGAGGCUGACACGGGAACAUUGCUAGGUGACCGUAUUUUCCAGAGCUCAGAUUGAGACAGAUGGUCUGCCCAAAGAUGUUUUCCCGAUUUAGCGUUUGCUUAUGUAAAAGCCUUCCGAAAAGUGC